rnacentral:rRNA from 1 species
UACAGGGGGUGCAAACGUUGCUCGGAAUCAUUGGGCGUAAAGCGCACGUAGGCGGUCUGUUAUGUCGGAUGUGAAAGCCCUCGGCUUAACUGAGGAAGUGCAUCCGAAACUGGCAGGCUAGAGUACUAAAGAGGGUCGCGGAAUUCCCGGUGUAGAGGUGAAAUUCGUAGAUAUCGGGAGGAACACCGGUGGCGAAGGCGGCGACCUGGGUAGAUACUGACGCUGAGGUGCGAAAGCCAGGGGAGCGAACGGG